rnacentral:rRNA from 1 species
UUCGGGAGCUUGUACAGGUGCUGCAUGGCUGUCGUCAGCUCGUGUCGUGAGAUGUUCGGUUAAGUCCGCUAACGAGCGCAACCCUCGCUGUGUGUUACAAGUGUCGACACGGAACUGCCGGUCAUAAACCGGAGGAAGGUGGGGAUGACGGUCAAGGUCAGCAUGGCCUUUAUAUCCUGGGCUACACACACGCUACAAUGGGAAGGGACAAUAGGUUGCGAAGCCGCGAGGCGGAGCCAAUCCAGCAAACUCCUCAGUUCAGAUUGCAGGCUGCAACCCGCCUGCAUGAAGAUGGAGUUGCUAGUAACCGCAGGUCAGCUAUACUGCGGUGAAUACGUUCCCGGGGCUU